rnacentral:rRNA from 1 species
CCUACGGGUGGCAGCAGUGGGGAAUAUUGGACAAUGGGGGGAACCCUGAUCCAGCCAUGCCGCGUGUGUGAAGAAGGCCCUCGGGUUGUAAAGCACUUUCAGUGAGGAAGAACGCCUGGUGGUUAAUACCCAUCAGGAAAGACAUCACUCACAGAAGAAGCACCGGCUAACUCCGUGCCAGCAGUCGCGGUAAUACGGAGGGUGCGAGCGUUAAUCGGAAUUACUGGGCGUAAAGCGCGCGUAGGUGGCUUGAUAAGCCGGUUGUGAAAGCCCCGGGCUCAACCUGGGAACGGCAUCCGGAACUGUCAAGCUAGAGUGCAGGAGAGGAAGGUAGAAUUCCCGGUGUAGCGGUGAAAUGCGUAGAGAUCGGGAGGAAUACCAGUGGCGAAGGCGGCCUUCUGGACUGACACUGACACUGAGGUGCGAAAGCGUGGGUAGCAAACAGGAUUAGAUACCCUGGUAGUC